rnacentral:rRNA from 1 species
AUGUUUCCUUUUCCACAAGCAACUUCUCCAGGCUCUGGAAGGCAAAUGUUGAGGCGAAAUGUCGUUUCUUCACAUGGUUUUGGAUUCAGGGCCGAAUUCUCACCUACGACAACCUCUCCGUCAGGGGAAUGGCUCAUAAUCAGCUAUGCAAUCUGUGUGACCAGGUUGAGGAGAUCUCUCUGCAUCUUAUCCUCAAGUGUUCUUUCGCGAAGGAGGUUUGGCUAUUGGCGGCGGAUUGGUGUGACUGUCCGACCACUGCUUCUAAUGCCGAAAAUGCCACCUCUUUCCUCAUGGUGGAGUGAGCUUACUUGUCCCAUGAACGACCAAUGCAUCGUCGCGUGUUGGAGCAUUCCUGUCUGCUCGGUCCUGGAGUCCUUCACCUGA